GUAGUAGUCAAGCGAUGGGGUGACGCAGGAAGGUAGCUGGGCCCGGUGGUGGAUUACCGGGUGUAAGCCUGUAGGGCGUUGUGUAGGCAAAUCCGCACAGCAUGUGCCUGAGAGGUGAUGCGUAGCCGGUUGAGGUGAAUUCAGUGAUCCUAUGCUGCCGAGAAAAGCCUCUAGUGAGUUGGUACACGGCCCGUACCCCAAACCGACACAGGUGGUCAGGUAGAGAAUACUAAGGCGAUCGAGAUAACUGUGGUGAAGGAACUCGGCAAAAUACCUCCGUAACUUCGGGAGAAGGAGGGCCCGAUCUGGUGAUGAGUCUUGCACUCGGAGCUGGGUUGGGUCGCAGAGACCAGAGAGAAGCGACUGUUUACUAAAAACACAGGUCCGUGCGAAGUCGUAAGACGAUGUAUACGGACUGACGCCUGCCCGGUGCCGGAAGGUUAAGAGGACCGGUUAGCGCAGUAAUGUGCGAAGCUGAGAAUUUAAGCCCCGGUAAACGGCGGUGGUAACUAUAACCAUCCUAAGGUAGCGAAAUUCCUUGUCGGGUAAGUUCCGACCUGCACGAAUGGCGUAACGACUUCUCUGCUGUCUCCACCACAGACUCGGCGAAAUUGCAUUACGAGUAAAGAUGCUCGUUACGCGCGGCAGGACGAAAAGACCCCGGGACCUUCACUAUAGCUUGGUAUUGGUGUUCGGUACGGUUUGUGUAGGAUAGGUGGGAGACUGUGAAGCGGGCACGCCAGUGUUCGUGGAGUCGUCGUUGAAAUACCACUCUGGUCGUAUUGGACCUCUAACCUCGGGCCAUGAUCUGGUUCAGGGACAGUGCCUGGUGGGUAGUUUAACUGGGGCGGUUGCCUCCCAAAAUGUAACGGAGGCGCCCAAAGGUUCCCUCAGCCUGGUUGGCAAUCAGGUGUUGAGUGUAAGUGCACAAGGGAGCUUGACUGUGAGACUGACAGGUCGAGCAGGGACGAAAGUCGGGACUAGUGAUCCGGCACCGGCAUGUGGAAGCGGUGUCGCUCAACGGAUAAAAGGUACCCCGGGGAUAACAGGCUGAUCUUCCCCAAGAGUCCAUAUCGACGGGAUGGUUUGGCACCUCGAUGUCGGCUCGUCGCAUCCUGGGGCUGGAGUAGGUCCCAAGGGUUGGGCUGUUCGCCCAUUAAAGCGGCACGCGAGCUGGGUUUAGAACGUCGUGAGACAGUUCGGUCUCUAUCCGCCGCGCGCGUUAGAAACUUGAGGAAGGCUGUCCCUAGUACGAGAGGACCGGGACGGACGAACCUCUGGUGUGCCAGUUGUCCCGCCAGGGGCACGGCUGGUUGGCCACGUUCGGAAGGGAUAACCGCUGAAAGCAUCUAAGCGGGAAGCCUGUUCCAAGAUGAGGUUUCUCACCCCUUUAAGGGGGUAAGGCCCCCAACAGACCAUUGGGUUGAUAGGCCAGAACUGGAAGUGCGGUAACGCAUGGAGGUGACUGGUACUAAUAGGCCGAGGACUUACCAAC
rnacentral:rRNA from 1 species